UCUCAAACUUGGAUUUGGAUC
rnacentral:piRNA from 1 species